rnacentral:rRNA from 1 species
UGGGGAAUUUUGGACAAUGGGGGAAACCCUGAUCCAGCCAUCCCGCGUGUGCGAUGAGGGCCUUCGGGUUGUAAAGCACUUUUGGCAGGAAAGAAACGUCGCGGGUUAAUACCCCGCGAAACUGACGGUACCUGCAGAAUAAGCACCGGCUAACUACGUGCCAGCAGCCGCGGUAAUACGUAGGGUGCAAGCGUUAAUCGGAAUUACUGGGCGUAAAGCGUGCGCAGGCGGUUCGGAAAGAAAGAUGUGAAAUCCCAGAGCUCAACUUUGGAACUGCAUUUUUAACUACCGGGCUAGAGUGUGUCAGAGGGAGGUGGAAUUCCGCGUGUAGCAGUGAAAUGCGUAGAUAUGCGGAGGAACACCGAUGGCGAAGGCAGCCUCCUGGGAUAACACUGACGCUCAUGCACGAAAGCGUGGGGAGCAAACA